rnacentral:rRNA from 1 species
CGGGUGAGUAACACGUGGAUAACCUACCUAUAAGACUGGGAUAACUUCGGGAAACCGGAGCUAAUACUGAUAAUAUAUUGAACCGCAUGGUUCAAUAGUGAAAGACGGUUUUGCUGUCACUUAUAGAUGGAUCCGCGCCGCAUUAGCUAGUUGGUAAGGUAACGGCUUACCAAGGCAACGAUGCGUAGCCGACCUGAGAGGGUGAUCGGCCACACUGGAACUGAGACACGGUCCAGACUCCUACGGGAGGCAGCAGCU